GAUGAACGCUGACAGAAUGCUUAACACAUGCAAGUCCACUUGAAUUUGGGUUUUUAACUUAGGUUUGGGUGGCGGACGGGUGAGUAACGCGUAAAGAACUUGCCUCACAGCUAGGGACAACAUUUGGAAACGAAUGCUAAUACCUAAUAUUAUGAUAAUAGGGCAUCCUAUAAUUAUGAAAGCUAUAAGCGCUGUGAGAGAGCUUUGCGUCCCAUUAGCUAGUUGGAGAGGUAACGGCUCACCAAGGCGAUGAUGGGUAGACGGCCUGAGAGGGUGAUCGGCCACAAGGGGACUGAGACACGGCCCUUACUCCUACGGGAGGCAGCAGUGGGGAAUAUUGGACAAUGGACCGAGAGUCUGAUCCAGCAAUUCUGUGUGAACGAUGAAGUUUUUCGGAAUGUAAAGUGCUUUCAGUUGGGAAGAAACAAAUGACGGUACCAACAGAAGAAGUGACGGCUAAAUACGUG
rnacentral:rRNA from 1 species